ACGGGAGGCAGCAGUGGGGAAUAUUGGGCAAUGGGCGAAAGCCUGACCCAGCAACGCCGCGUGAAGGAAGAAGGCCUUCGGGUUGUAAACUUCUUUUACCAGGGACGAAGGACGUGACGGUACCUGAAGAAAAAGCUCCGGCUAACUACGUGCCAGCAGCCGCGGUAAUACGUAGGGAGCGAGCGUUGUCCGGAAUUACUGGGUGUAAAGGGUGCGUAGGCGGGGAUGCAAGUCAGAUGUGAAAUGUAUGGGCUCAACCCAUGAACUGCAUUUGAAACUGCAACUCUUGAGUGAGGUAGAGGUAAGCGGAAUUCCUAGUGUAGCGGUGAAAUGCGUAGAUAUUAGGAGGAACAUCGGUGGCGAAGGCGGCUUACUGGGCCUUUACUGACGCUGAGGCACGAAAGCGUGGGGAGCAAACAGGAUUAGAUACCCUGGUA
rnacentral:rRNA from 1 species